rnacentral:rRNA from 1 species
AGAGUUUGAUCCUGGCUCAGGACGAGCGCUGGCGGUGUGCUUCACACAUGCAAGUCGAGCGAAUGAAGAAGGUAGCUUGCUACUUUUGGAUUUAGCGGCGGACGGGUGAGUAAUAUAUAGGAGUCUGCCCUAGAGCGGGGAACAACAGACCGAAAGGUUUGCUAAUGCCCCAUAGGUACGCAGUCUUCGGAUUGUUUAUUAAAGGAGUAAUCCACUCUAGGAUGAGCCUGUAUCCGAUUAGCUAGUUGGCGGGGUAAAGGCCCACCAAGGCUACGAUCGGUAGUUGGUCUGAGAGGAUGAUCAGCCACAAUGGGACUGAGACACGGCCCAUACUCCUACGGGAGGCAGCAGUGGGGAAUUUUACACAAUGGGGGAAACCCUGAUGUAGCGACACCGCGUGAACGAAGAAGCCUUUUGGGGUGUAAAGUUCUGUCGGCUGGAACGAAAAAAAUGACGGUACCAGCAAAGGAAGCAUCGGCUAACUACGUGCCAGCAGCCGCGGUAAGACGUAGGAUGCAAGCGUUGUCCGGAUUUAUUGGGCGUAAAGAGUUCGUAGGCGGUUAUUUAAGUCUGGUGUUAAAUACUGUGGCCCAACCACAGAACUGCAUUGGAUACUGGAUGACUUGAGUGCGGUAGAGGCGAGUGGAAUUCCCAGUGUAGCGGUGAAAUGCGUA